UCCAAAACAUCGCCCCCCGCCAUCCACAUAUGUGGGGUACUGCCUGCCCAGUGAAAUUUUAAACGGCCGCGGUAUCUUGACCGUGCAAAGGUAGCAUAAUCACUAGCCCUCUAAAUAAGGGCCUGUAUGAAUGGCAACACGAGGGCCCGACUGUCUCCUUCUUGAGAAGAGAAACUUCUCUGGCCGUGCAAAAGCGGCCAUCAAAGCGCUAGACGAGAAGACCCUAUCGAGCUUGAGAGAUUAGAGAACGAGAAAACGCCAAAUAGCAUGGACCUAAGGUCCACACACUUGGAACUUACCACCUCUUAACAUUUCUUUGGUUGGGGCAACCACGGAGAAAACCCAUCCUCCGGACCAAAAUUUUAAGACCAAUACGUCUAUAGCAUUUAGUAAUAGGACCAUGAUCCGGUCAUACCGAUCAAUAAACUAAGUUACCGUAGGGAUAACAGCGUAAUCCCUCCUAAGAGCCCGCAUUGCCGGAGGGGUUUGCGACCUCGAUGUUGGAUCGGGGUACCCCGAUGGUGCAGCCGCUAUCAAAGGUUGGUCUGUUCGACCA
rnacentral:rRNA from 1 species